rnacentral:lncRNA from 1 species
CUCUUUGCUUCAAUUUCUAUCAUUGAAUUUGAUGGUGAUUUACUGCGUCGUUUGACUGACAGAAACAUUGACAGCUUCAAGAACUUUGUUGAUAGGUUGUUGAAAUUCCCCGAUCAAGUAAGUUUAGAUUGCUUUAGGCUACAUGAUGGGAUUUCUUCAUGGAAUGAUGGGAUUUCUUCAUGGAAUGAUGGAGAUCAUGAUUUUGAUGUUUCUGGUUGGAUAUGUGCUGCACUGUGCCGUGGUGUUAAGGAAAUUGAUUUGAAAUUAUAUAAUCUUGGGGAUGUUCCACCUGAUGUUCC